AGCGGACGCUGGCGGCGUGCCUAACACAUGCAAGUCGAACGUGAAAAGGGGCAACCCUGAGUAAAGUGGCGUACGGGUGAGUAACACGUAGGUAAUCUACCUUAGAGUCUGGAAUAACCUGCCGAAAGGCGGGCUAAUACCGGAUAGAUCGAGGAAUCCGUAAUUGGGUUUUUCGGGAAAGGGAGCUCGCAAGAGCCCAUGCUCUAGGAUGAGCCUGCGUCCCAUUAGCUAGUUGGUAGGGUAAUGGCCUACCAAGGCAGUGAUGGGUAGCUGGUCUGAGAGGAUGAUCAGCCACACUGGAACUGAAACACGGUCCAGACUCCUACGGGAGGCAGCAGUGGGGAAUCUUGCGCAAUGGACGAAAGUCUGACGCAGCAACGCCGCGUGAGUGAAGAAGGCCUUCGGGUUGUAAAGCUCUGUCGAGAGGGACGAAUAACUUCUGGGUUAACAGCCCAGGAGCCUGACGGUACCUCCAAAGGAAGCACCGGCUAACUCUGUGCCAGCCGCCGCCGUAAGAC
rnacentral:rRNA from 1 species